CCUACGGGAGGCAGCAGUCGAGAAUCAUUCACAAUGGGGGAAACCCUGAUGGUGCGACGCCGCGUGGGGGAAUGAAGGUCUUCGGAUUGUAAACCCCUGUCAUGUGGGAGCAAAUUAAAAAGAUCGUACCACAAGAGGAAGAGACGGCUAACUCUGUUCCAGCAGCCGCGGUAAUACAGAGGUCUCAAGCGUUGUUCGGAAUCACUGGGCGUAAGGCGUGCGUAGGCUGUUUCGUAAGUCGUGUGUGAAAGGCGCGGGCUCAACCCGCGGACGGCACAUGAUACUGCGAGACUAGAGUAAUGGAGGGGGAACCGGAAUUCUCGGUGUAGCAGUGAAAUGCGUAGAUAUCGAGAGGAACACUCGUGGCGAAGGCGGGUUCCUGGACAGUAACUGACGCUGAGGCACGAAGGCCAGGGGAGCGAAAGGGAUUAGAUACCCGUGUAGUC
rnacentral:rRNA from 1 species